rnacentral:rRNA from 1 species
GUGCAGCAGUCGCGAAUCUUCCCCAAUGGACGAAAGUCUGAGGGAGCGACGCCGCGUGGAAUGAAGAAGCCCUUCGGGGUGUAAAAUUCUUUUCUUUAGGAAAAAUUCGUGAUGGUACUAAAGGAAUAAGGGGCCGCCAAACUCGUGCCAGCAGCGGCGGUAAUACGAGUGCCCGAGCGUUAUCCGGAAUUACUGGGCGUAAA